rnacentral:rRNA from 1 species
GAUGAACGCUGGCGGCGUGCUUAACACAUGCAGGUCGAACGGGAAUUAUUUUAUUGAAACUUCGGUCGAUUUAAUUUAAUUCUAGUGGCGGACGGGUGAGUAACGCGUGGGUAACCUGCCUUAUACAGGGGGAUAACAGCCAGAAAUGGCUGCUAAUACCGCAUAAGCGCACAGAGCUGCAUGUCUCAGUGUGAAAAACUCCGGUGGUAUAAGAUGGACCCGCGUUGGAUUAGCUUGUUGGCAGGGUAACGGCCUACCAAGGCGACGAUCCAUAGCCGGCAUGAGAGGGUGAACGGCCACAUUGGGACUGAGACACGGCCCAGACUCCUACGGGAGGCAGCAGUGGGGAAUAUUGCACAAUGGGGGAAACCCUGAUGCAGCGACGCCGCGUGAAGGAAGAAGUAUCUCGGUAUGUAAACUUCUAUCAGCAGGGAAGAUAGUGACGGUACCUGACUAAGAAGCCCCGGCUAACUACGUG